GAACUGUGGGUGACUGGGCGCAGCCGUCAUAUGCUAAUAGCGCUAAGUACUGACCAUUAACGUCAUACCUGACGCAGUAACAUGUGGGAAUCUGCCUUUUGGUUCGGAACAACACGGGGAAACCUGUGCUAAUACCGGAUAAGUCCUUACGGAGAAAGUUUUAAUGCCAAAAGAUGAGCCCGCAUUUGAUUAGCUAGUUGGUGAGGUAAAAGCUCACCAAGGCGAUAAUCAAUAGCUGAUUUGAGAGGAUGAUCAGCCACACUGGGACUGAGAUACGGCCCAGACUCCUACGGGAGGCAGCAGUGGGGAAUCUUGCACAAUGGGCGAAAGCCUGAUGCAGCGAUGCCGCGUGAGUGAAGAAGGCCUUUGGGUUGUAAAGCUCUUUUGU
rnacentral:rRNA from 1 species